GUAGGUGGCAAGCGUUGUCCGGAAUUAUUGGGGCGUAAAGCGCGCGCAGGCGGUUCUUUAAGUCUGAUGUGAAAGCCCACGGGCUCAACCGUGGAGGGUCAUUGGAAACUGGAGAACUUGAGUACAGAAGAGGAAAGCGGAAUUCCACGUGCAGCGGUGAAAUGCGUAGAGAUGUGGAGGAACACCAGUGGCGAAGGCGGCUUUCCGGUCUGUAACUGACGCUGAGGCGCGAAAGCGUGGGGAGCAAACAGGAUUAGAUACCCUGGUAGUCCACGCCGUAAACGAUGAGUGCUAAGUGUUAGGGGGUUUCCGCCCCUUAGUGCUGCAGCUAACGCAUUAAGCACUCCGCCUGGGGAGUACGGCCGCAAAGGCUG
rnacentral:rRNA from 1 species